GAUGAACGCUAGCGGCAGGCUUAACACAUGCAAGUCGAGGGGUAGAGGAAGCUUGCUUCCUUGAGACCGGCGCACGGGUGCGUAACGCGUAUGCAAUCUACCUUGUACAGGGGGAUAGCCCAGAGAAAUUUGGAUUAAUACCCCAUAGUAUUAUUGAAUGGCAUCAUUUGAUUAUUAAAGUCCCAACGGUACAAGAUGAGCAUGCGUCCCAUUAGCUAGUUGGUGUGGUAACGGCAUACCAAGGCGACGAUGGGUAGGGGUCCUGAGAGGGAGAUCCCCCACACUGGUACUGAGACACGGACCAGACUCCUACGGGAGGCAGCAGUGAGGAAUAUUGGUCAAUGGGCGCAAGCCUGAACCAGCCAUGCCGCGUGCAGGAUGACGGUCCUAUGGAUUGUAAACUGCUUUUGUACAGGAAGAAACACUCCCUCGUGAGGGAGCUUGACGGUGCUGUAAGAAUAAGGAUCGGCUAACUCCGUGCCAGCAGCCGCCGUAAUAC
rnacentral:rRNA from 1 species